rnacentral:lncRNA from 1 species
CUGGAACCGAACCUGCAAUGUUCUCUGAGUUGUAUCAUCUCAUGUCAGCAUCGUGACUCUGGCCCGCAUCCCACUGAGCAACCCCAACUCCUCAUGGGAGUUCAUGGAAGCCACGGCCACCCAGCAUUGCCACAGCAAGAAGGCUCAGGAGGUGCAUAACUGAUCUGCAGAUGAACCCAGCACCUACUCAGGAAUGGCUGGAGCCGCAGCAGCUACCUUAUGACCGUGGGAUACAAGCCAAGAGAAUCACAGAGAUGCCAUCUUCCACAGAGCAGAGCUGCUAAAUCAACACUUCUAAUUCCCUCCAGACUUAACAUAUGAGAAUUCGGCUGUUACCCAACCAGCCAAAUGUAUGCUUGCCCGGCUAACUUAAAGUGCUGUGGUAAGGACGAAGGGCUGCUAAACGUAUUGUAUGGAUUGCUUGAUUUUGUUUACUUAUUCCUGUUGAGAUAUAUCCUUUGGGUGUCAUAUUCUAUUA